ACGAGUGGCGGACGGGUGAGUAACACGUGGGUAACCUGCCCUUAAGUGGGGGAUAACAUUUGGAAACAGAUGCUAUACCGCAUAGAUCCAAGAACCGCAUGGUUCUUGGCUGAAAGAUGGCGUAAGCUAUCGCUUUUGGAUGGACCCGCGGCGUAUUAGCUAGUUGGUGAGGUAAUGGCUCACCAAGGCGAUGAUACGUAGCCGAACUGAGAGGUUGAUCGGCCACAUUGGGACUGAGACACGGCCCAAACUCCUACGGGAGGCAGCAGUAGGGAAUCUUCCACAAUGGACGCAAGUCUGAUGGAGCAACGCCGCGUGGAGUGAAGAGGGCUUUCGGGUCGUAAAACUCUGUUGUUGGAGAAGAAUGGUCGGCAGAGUAACUGUUGUCGGCGUGACGGUAUCCAACCAGAAAGCCACGGCUAACUACGUGCCAGCAGCCGCGGUAAUACGUAGGUGGCAAGCGUUAUCCGGAUUUAUUGGGCGUAAAGCGAGCGCAGGCGGUUUUUUAAGUCUGAUGUGAAAGCCCUCGGCUUAACCGAGGAAGCGCAUCGGAAACUGGGAAACUUGAGUGCAGAAGAGGACAGUGGAACUCCAUGUGUAGCGGUGAAAUGCGUAGAUAUAUGGAAGAACACCAGUGGCGAAGGCGGCUGUCUGGUCUGUAACUGACGCUGAGGCUCGAAAGCAUGGGUAGCGAACAGGAUUAGAUACCCUGGUAGUCCAUGCCGUAAACGAUGAAUGCUAGGUGUUGGAGGGUUUCCGCCCUUCAGUGCCGCAGCUAACGCAUUAAGCAUUCCGCCUGGGGAGUACGACCGCAAGGUUGAAACUCAAAGGAAUUGACGGGGGCCCGCACAAGCGGUGGAGCAUGUGGUUUAAUUCGAAGCAACGCGAAGAACCUUACCAGGUCUUGACAUCUUUUGAUCACCUGAGAGAUCAGGUUUCCCCUUCGGGGGCAAAAUGACAGGUGGUGCAUGGUUGUCGUCAGCUCGUGUCGUGAGAUGUUGGGUUAAGUCCCGCAACGAGCGCAACCCUUAUGACUAGUUGCCAGCAUUUAGUUGGGCACUCUAGUAAGACUGCCGGUGACAAACCGGAGGAAGGUGGGGAUGACGUCAAAUCAUCAUGCCCCUUAUGACCUGGGCUACACACGUGCUACAAUGGAUGGUACAACGAGUUGCGAGACCGCGAGGUCAAGCUAAUCUCUUAAAGCCAUUCUCAGUUCGGACUGUAGGCUGCAACUCGCCUACACGAAGUCGGAAUCGCUAGUAAUCGCGGAUCAGCACGCCGCGGUGAAUACGUUCCCGGGCCUUGUACACACCGCCCGUCACACCAUGAGAGUUUGUAACACCCGAAGCCGGUGGCGUAACCCUUUUAGGGAGCGAGCCGUCUAAGGUGGGACAAAUGAUUAGGGUGAAGUCGUAACAAGGUAGCCGUAGGAGAACC
rnacentral:rRNA from 1 species